AUACGGAGGGUGCAAGCGUUAUUCGGAAUCACUGGGCGUAAAGGACGCGUAGGCGGGUUGGCAAGUCAGAUGUGAAAUCCUACAGCUUAACUAUAGAACUGCAUUUGAAACUGCUAACCUAGAGUAUGGGAGGGGGAGAUGGAAUUAGUGGUGUAGGGGUAAAAUCCGUAGAUAUCACUAGGAAUACCGAAAGCGAAGGCGAUCUCCUGGAACAUAACUGACGCUAAGGCGUGAAAGCGUGGGGAGCAAACAGGAUUAGAAACCCUAGUAGUCC
rnacentral:rRNA from 1 species